UACGGAGGGUGCAGGCGUUAUCCGGAUUCACUGGGUUUAAAGGGUCCGUAGGCGGUUUUGUAAGUCAGGGGUGAAAUCCCGGGGCUCAACCUCGGAACUGCCUUUGAUACUGCAAAUCUCGAGUCCGGAAGAGGUGAGUGGAAAUUCCUAGUGUAGAGGUGAAAAUUCGUAGAUAUUAGGAAGAACACCGGUGGCGAAGGCGGCCCACUGGCUCGAUACUGACGCUGAGGUGCGAAAGCGUGGGGAGCAAACAGG
rnacentral:rRNA from 1 species